CCGAGUUUACGACUUCCCAAACCCCUGUGAACAUACCACUUGUUGCCUCGGCGGAUCAGCCCGCUCCCGGUAAAACGGGACGGCCCGCCAGAGGACCCCUAAACUCUGUUUCUAUAUGUAACUUCUGAGUAAAACCAUAAAUAAAUCA
rnacentral:misc_RNA from 1 species